GCUUUACAUUCUUCCACACGGCAGUGACGGCACAUGAACGCAACACAAACAAACCUGGAGGAGAGUGAACGUGACAAUUCUGAUUAGGAGAAGGACUCCCACGACCACCGAAGACAAAGUGCUGUGCUGCAUGUCUCUGUUCGGGAGCCCCAGAGGUCAUCUCCCUCUGUGUCAUCACAACCUCAGCCUCCUCACAGCUCCUGGCCCCAACGCGGCGACCCCACGCAGAGAGCCUCACUAUCGCUGCACUCUCUACUUCCCUAUCGUCUCCUGCUCUCCGCAGUGUUGCCCCAUAUGUACACACCAGUGUUAAACAUUAACACUUCCCACAAUGCAUUUCACCUCACCUGUGUGCAAUUUGGUCGGAUCUCACCCGUGGAGUUAUUGGGCAACACGUAAC
ensembl:lncRNA